rnacentral:rRNA from 1 species
AGUGAACGCUGGCGGCAGGCCUAACACAUGCAAGUCGAGCGGCAGCGGGUCCCCGCGAGGGGAUGCCGGCGAGCGGCGGACGGGUGAGGAACACAUCGGAAUCUGCCUGGUUGUGGGGGAUAACGUAGGGGAAACUUACGCUAAUACCGCAUGCGACCCUGAGUCGACGGACUUGGGGUGAAAGUGAGGGACCUUCGGGCCUCACGCGACCAGAUGAGCCGAUGUCGGAUUAGCUAGUUGGCGGGGUAACGGCCGCCAAGGCGACGAUCCGUAGCUGGUCUGAGAGGAUGAUCAGCCACACUGGGACUGAGACACGGCCCAGACUCCUACGGGAGGCAGCAGUGGGGAAUCUUGGACAAUGGGCGCAAGCCUGAUCC